rnacentral:tRNA from 1 species
GAUAAUGUGGCUGAAGUUAAAGCGAUAAAUUGUAAAUUUAUUUAUGAAUUUUUUUUCCAUUAUUA